GAUCAUGGCUCAGGACGAACGCUGGCGGCGUGCUUAACACAUGCAAGUCGAACGGGGAUUAAGUUGGAAAGGCUUCGGCCCGGAAGACUUAAUUCGAGUGGCGGACGGGUGAGUAACGCGUGAGCAACCUGUCCCAGACAGGGGGAUAACACUUGGAAACAGGUGCUAAUACCGCAUAAGACCACGGGGUCACAUGGCUCUGGGGUAAAAGGAGCAAUCCGGUUUGGGGUGGGCUCGCGUCCGAUUAGAUAGUUGGUGAGGUAACGGCCCACCAAGUCGACGAUCGGUAGCCGACCUGAGAGGGUGAUCGGCCACAUUGGAACUGAGAGACGGUCCAAACUCCUACGGGAGGCAGCAGUGGGGAAUAUUGGGCAAUGGGACGAAAGCCUGACCCAGCAACGCCGCGUGAGUGAAGAAGGCCUUCGGGUUGUAAAGCUCUGUUAUAGGGGACGAAGGAAGUGACGGUACCCUAUAAGGAAGCCCCGGCUAACUACGUGCCAGCCGCCGC
rnacentral:rRNA from 1 species